ACUCGAGUGGCGAACGGGUGAGUAACACGUGGGUGAUCUGCCCUGCACUUCGGGAUAAGCUUGGGAAACUGGGUCUAAUACCGGAUAGGAACCAUCUUUAGUGUGGUGGUUGGAAAGUUUUUUCGGUGUAGGAUGAGCUCGCGGCCUAUCAGCUUGUUGGUGGGGUAAUGGCCUACCAAGGCGGCGACGGGUAGCCGGCCUGAGAGGGUGUACGGCCACAUUGGGACUGAGAUACGGCCCAGACUCCUACGGGAGGCAGCAGUGGGGAAUAUUGCACAAUGGGCGCAGGCCUGAUGCAGCGACGCCGCGUGGGGGAUGAAGGCCUUCGGGUUGUAAACUCCUUUCGCUAGGGACGUAGCUUUUUGGUGACGGUACCUAGAUAAGAAGCACCGGCUAACUACGUGCCAGCAGCCGCGGUAAUACGUAGGGUGCGAGCGUUGUCCGGAAUUACUGGGCGUAAAGGGCUCGUAGGUGGUUUGUCGCGUCGUCUGUGAAAUUCUGGGGCUUAACUCCGGGCGUGCAGGCGAUACGGGCAUAACUUGAGUGCUGUAGGGGUAACUGGAAUUCCUGGUGUAGCGGUGAAAUGCGCAGAUAUCAGGAGGAGCACCGAUGGCGAAGGCAGGUUACUGGGCAGUUACUGACG
rnacentral:rRNA from 1 species